CCUACGGGGGGCAGCAGUCGGGAAUAUUGCACAAUGGAGGAAACUCUGAUGCAGUGACGCCGCGUGCAGGAAGAAGGUUUUCGGAUUGUAAACUGCUUUAGACAGGGAAGAAACAAGACAGUACCUGUAGAAUAAGCUCCGGCUAACUACGUGCCAGCAGCCGCGGUAAUACGUAGGGAGCAAGCGUUAUCCGGAUUUAUUGGGUGUAAAGGGUGCGUAGACGGGUAUAUAAGUUAGUUGUGAAAUCCCUCGGCUCAACUGAGGAACUGCAACUAAAACUGUAAAUCUUGAGUGCGGGAGAGGAA
rnacentral:rRNA from 1 species